AGAGUUUGAUCCUGGCUCAGGAUGAACGCUGGCGGCGUGCCUAAUACAUGCAAGUCGAACGAAGGUAGCAAUACCUUAGUGGCGAACGGGUGAGUAACACGUAGGUAACCUGCCUUUCAGUUGGGGAUAACCGAGGGAAACUUUGGCUAAUACCGAAUUCGUGCUUCGAAGGCAUCUUCGGAGCAUAAAAGGGGCUUCAAAGCCUCGCUGAUUGAUGGACCUGCGGCGCAUUAGUUAGUUGGUGAGAUAACAGCCCACCAAGACGAGGAUGCGUAGCCGACCUGAGAGGGUGAUCGGCCACACUGGAACUGAGACACGGUCCAGACUCCUACGGGAGGCAGCAGUAGGGAGUUUUCGGCAAUGGGGGAAACCCUGACCGAGCAACGCCGCGUGAGUGAUGAAGGUCUUCGGAUUGUAAAGCUCUGUUAUAAGGGAAGAACGGCAGUUAGAGGAAAUGCUAGCUGUUUGACGGUACUUUAUGAGAAAGCCACGGCUAACUACGUGCCAGCAGCCGCGGUAAUACGUAGGUGGCAAGCGUUAUCCGGAAUUAUUGGGCGUAAAGAGUGAGCAGGCGGCAGUUUAAGUUUGGAGUCAAAGCGAGGGGCUCAACCCCUUAACGCUCUGAAAACUGAACAGCUAGAGUGCGAGAGAGGUAAGUGGAAUUCCAUGUGUAGCGGUGAAAUGCGUAGAUAUAUGGAGGAACACCAGUGGCGAAGGCGACUUACUAGCUCGAUACUGACGCUCAGUCACGAAAGCGUGGGUAGCAAAUAGGAUUAGAUACCCUAGUAGUCCACGCUGUAAACGAUGAGAACUAAGUAUUGCCGUGAGGCAGUGCUGA
rnacentral:rRNA from 1 species